rnacentral:misc_RNA from 1 species
AACGCACCUUGCGCCCCUUGGCAUUCCGAGGGGCACACCCGUUUGAGUGUCGUGACACCCUCAAAAACCUUUUCUUGGUCAAUCCGGGCAAAGGCUUUUUGGACAUUGGAGGUCUUUUGCUGGCAUCACCAGAAGCCAGCUCCUCUUAAACAAAUUCGUGGGGUCCGCUUUGCAGAUCUUGGACGUGAUAAUACAUUUCUGCGUCCCGGGUCGUUUGCUCUGCUAUGCUCCUGAACCGUCGAGCUUUCGACGCUUUAAACCCUUGACCUCAAAUCGGGUGAGACUACCCGCUGAACUUAA